rnacentral:rRNA from 1 species
UACGGAGGGAGCUAGCGUUGUUCGGAAUUACUGGGCGUAAGCGCACGUAGGCGGCUAUUCAAGUCGGGGGUGAAAGCCCGGGGCUCAACCCCGGAACAGCCCUCGAAACUAGAUAGCUAGAAUCUUGGAGAGGCGAGUGGAAUUCCGAGUGUAGAGGUGAAAUUCGUAGAUAUUCGGAAGAACACCAGUGGCGAAGGCGGCUCACUGGCCCGAUACUGACGCUGAGGUGCGAAAGCUAGGGGAGCAAACGGG